GUGGAGCGGUAUACGGCUCAGUAACGGGCGAUUUAUUUGUUCUCCUGGGACGGACAACAUCGGGAAACUGAUGGGAAAACGUCUAAGUUGCAGUUAAUUGACUGUGACGUAAACCUUAGUGUGCAGGAGAGUAAGAUGCCAUCCUAUCAGUUAGUAAGUAGGGUAAGGGCCUACUUAGACGAAGACGGGUACGGGGAAUGAGGGUUUGAUUCCGGAGAGGGAGCCUGAGAGAUGGCUACCAGGACCAAGGUCAGCAGCAGGCGCGAAAAUUAUCGAAGCCCGCCUAGGGGCGAUAGUGAGGAGACGUGUAUAACGAAGUACGUGUAAAGAACGUGCUAAUAACUGGAGGUCAAGUCUGGUGCCAGCAUCCGCGGUAAUUCCAGCUCCAGGGGUGUCUAUGAUGAUUGCUGCGAUUAAAAAGUCCGUAGUCAAUCUGACUGACUGACCUGCAAUGUGAUUGAUUAAAGAACGAGCAGGGUUAGGAAAGCAGAGAAUUAGGAGCGACCGAGGGCUAGAGUAUUGAAUGGCGAGAGGUGAAAUUUGAUGACCCAUUCAGGAGUGACAAAGGCGAAGGCACUAGUCAAGGGCGAAUCCGAUGAUCAAGGACGUAGGCUAGAGUUUCGAAAACGAUUAGAGACCGGAGUAGUUCUAGCAGUAAACUAUGCCGACGCCGUGGUAUCAACAAUGGUAUUGCGGAAGAGAAAUCAAGUAAGGCUUUGGGGAGAGUACGCGCGCAAGCGAUAAAUUUAAAGGAAAUUGACGGAGGAACACCACAAGGAGUGGAGUGUGCGGCUUAAUUUGACUCAACGCGGGACAGCUUACCAGGCCCGAUAAUCGAGCGAGCGUAGUACGCGAUAGGUUAAAGAGUGGUGCAUGGCUGCUAUCGACAGUUGGGGUGACCUUAGGGUUAAUUCCGGCAAGUAGUGAGACCCCUGCAGAUAGUGGACAGGUAUUUUUAAAAUACAGGAAGGAAGGGACAAGAGCAGGUCAGUGAUGCCCUUAGAUGGCCUGGGCUGCACGCGCACUACAGUGGUCAUUAUAAGUAGAAGUUAG
rnacentral:rRNA from 1 species